GACGAACGCUGGCGGCGUGCCUAAUACAUGCAAGUCGAACGAACCGCGACUAGGUGCUUGCACUUGGUCAAGGUGAGUGGCGAACGGGUGAGUAACACGUGGGUAACCUACCUCAUAGUGGGGGAUAACAGUCGGAAACGACUGCUAAUACCGCAUAGGACAUGGGAUCACAUGAUUCUGUGAGGAAAGGUGGCGCAAGCUAUCGCUACGAGAUGGACCCGCGGUGCAUUAGCUAGUUGGUAGGGUAACGGCCUACCAAGGCGAUGAUGCAUAGCCGACCUGAGAGGGUGAUCGGCCACAUUGGGACUGAGACACGGCCCAAACUCCUACGGGAGGCAGCAGUAGGGAAUCUUCCGCAAUGGACGCAAGUCUGACGGAGCAACGCCGCGUGAGUGAAGAAGGUCUUCGGAUCGUAAAGCUCUGUUGUUAGAGAAGAACAGCGCAUAGAGUAACUGUUAUGCGUGUGACGGUAUCUAACCAGAAAGCCACGGCUAACUACGUG
rnacentral:rRNA from 1 species